rfam:Otolemur garnettii contig142667, whole genome shotgun sequence.
GCACCUGUGGCUCACAGGAGUAGAGCGCUGGCCCCCUAUGCCAGAGGUGGCAGGUUCAAACCCAGCCCUGGGCA